GACGAACGCUGGCGGCGUGCCUAAUACAUGCAAGUUGAGCGCUGAAGGUUGGUACUUGUACCAACUGGAUGAGCAGCGAACGGGUGAGUAACGCGUGGGGAAUCUGCCUUUGAGCGGGGGACAACAUUUGGAAACGAAUGCUAAUACCGCAUAAAAACUUUAAACACAAGUUUUAAGUUUGAAAGAUGCAAUUGCAUCACUCAAAGAUGAUCCCGCGUUGUAUUAGCUAGUUGGUGAGGUAAAGGCUCACCAAGGCGAUGAUACAUAGCCGACCUGAGAGGGUGAUCGGCCACAUUGGGACUGAGACACGGCCCAAACUCCUACGGGAGGCAGCAGUAGGGAAUCUUCGGCAAUGGACGAAAGUCUGACCGAGCAACGCCGCGUGAGUGAAGAAGGUUUUCGGAUCGUAAACCUCUGUUGGUAGAGAAGAACGUUGGUGAGAGUGGAAAGCUCAUCAAGUGACGGUAACUACCCAGAAAGGGACGGCUAACUAUGU
rnacentral:rRNA from 1 species